rnacentral:lncRNA from 1 species
CCCACCCUCAGUCCCAUUUUCCAAAUGCAAUUGCCUUUUUUCUUUUGCUUCAGAUUUUUUUAAAAAAAUAACUAAAUGUUAUAGUUUCACGUGAAGUUUGCUUUUACCUCCACAACCUCCAUUCUCCUCCCUGCAUCCUUAGAGGAGUCCACUCUCCUUGAAUUGCUCUGCCAUCCUAUUUCAUUUGUUUGCUUUGAUUUUUUCCUAAGUGCAUAUGAUUAUGUUCAUCAAGGAGAAACCAACGUACCCUCCCUUUAUCAUAUCGCUAAGAGUUUCUGGCUUCUUGUGCAUGUUAUUGAGAGGGCUGUAUUCUAUUUUUCUUGAUGAUUUUCUGCUGAGAGCCCGCCAUACCAUCUUCUUUCAUGGACUGUUGCAUCACUAGACAGCUGGAAUCCUACAUUUUCUUUUUAUUGGACUUUUGGUUAGGCCUAUUGUUAUUGCACUCUUUGUUUUUCUUUAUCUUGAAUUUCAUUCCUCCUUUUGUUAGAUUUUAGGUAAUUUCUUCAGGAAGGAUGUAUGCGUGGCAAAAUUUCUGAGUCUCUCCGUGUCUGAAAAUAUCUUUAUUUUGCCUUCCUGUUGGAUUAAUAAUUUGGCUUUUGGCUUGGUAUCAACUCUAGGAUUGAAAUAAUUUCCCUUAGAACUUGGUGCUGUUGCACCAUUCUGUCUUACAUAAGUGUUGCUAAAGAGAAAUAUGGUAUCAGUCUGAUUCUCAGGAGUUUCUAAGGAGUUUCUUUUUUCUUUCUCUUGAAGCUUUUUAAUCCUUUAUUAUUCUUGGUCUUCUGGAGUUUCAGAAACAUGUGUUGACAUGGGAGUUAUUUUUCAUUUAUUCUGCUCAAUUUGUAAUACGGUCUUUCAGUGCAAUGACUUAUGCUUCUCUCUAGCUCUGGGAAGUCACUCUUCCAUUAUUUCUUUACAAUUCUUCUAUUAUUUCUUCACCCCUAUUUUAUGUCCUUUUUUCCUUGGAGCACCUUCACUGAAACUUAAUGCCUCUUUUCUGUCAUCUCCUUAACUCCGUCACUUGGAAAAUACAAUUUCCUGACAUUAUUUUCUAGGCAUCCUAAUUAAAUAUUUUUGGCAAUCUUUUUCUUCUUUUCCCAACAACUUGUUCUUAUUAUCUCUUCUUCUUUUUUUUUAAAUAGUAUCCAAUUCUUUUAAAAAUUAAAUCUAACAUUUAUUUUAACAUUUUAGGAUAAACAUUGAAAUUUUUGAGUUCUCUUUUGUCCCCUGAUGGUAGAUAAGUCUUUUUCCUGGCAAGGAAGGUUGUUUGUGUAUCAUUGCCCCUGUUUCUGGCAGGGUUUGAUUCAAGGUGAAUGGGAGACAACCAUUGACUCAUCACCUUCUCUCAUCCACUGCAGCCCCUUCCCCAUUGCCAAGGUUGUCUGUGCUAUAAUCCAUGGCUCCAGCAAUCACCCUAGAAGCCUCAGCUCCUUUCUGCUGUUCAUAUGUGUGUUUUUACCUGGGUUCAAUGUCAGGCCAAAUAUUAGCUGCCUCCUAUUUGUUCCCCACCCCUGCUGACUGUGACCCUGUUCCUCUCCAGAAUUCUGAGCUAUAGCUCCUGUCACUCUAAGUGGUAAUAAGGUGCCAUUUUUCUUUCUUUAUCUUCCAGAAAUUUUUUGGGUAUCUUUUGACCACUGAUGACCGCCUUCUCAUGGUCCAUGUUUCAAGGUAGAUUUCUUCCCAUUUAUGCUUCUGCUGUCAUUUCAGGGUCUUAGGAGAGAACACAAGACCAAUGUGUGUGCCCAGCCCACCAUCUAGGAUGCAAAGUCUCAUCAUGACAUGAACUGCUGUCUGUAUUGUAAAAGUACAAGGAAGAUGACAGUCAAUGAUAGAGGUAGAAGGAAAGAGGUGGAAAGUGGCAUGUGGGCUGGGUCUUGAAGUGCGAUUGGCACUAUGAAGGGCAGGGGCAGGUUAGAUGAGGGUAGACUGGGGACUCCAGUGGCACUAUGAAUAACAGUGGGACACCAGCACAGGCUUGCUGGAACAGAGGAGGCACAAGCAGCAACAAUCUUGUUCCCUCAACAUUGUUCUCUCAUCUGAGUACUCUGCAGUUCUGACUGAGCUUCUCCCUGAGAGUAGGCACAGCCCUAAGUCUUAGAGCGGAAUCCCUGAUGGCUGAGCACCAAUGCAUCUGAAGCCUGAAGCCUUCCUUGAGCCUCCUCCAGCCUGCAAGUACCCUGGCAGCAGAGUAGGAAUGAUAAAACAUGCUCUAAACAAGGUGAGGAAAUCCAACAAUAAUUUGUGAUAGCACAUCUGGUGUCAUAGGUAGCUCUGUACUUGCAGUGUAAACAUGGUGGGAGGCUAUUUGCAAAUAUGUACAAGUCUUGUCAAAGGAGUGUUUGUACAGAAUAAAUGGAGAUAAGUGCCUCUAGAAAUAGUGCUUUUUCAAUAACAACUAUUAUUGAUCAUCUAAAAGUUUUAGACACUUUGUGGCACAUAAUUAUCACAAUGCUAUGAUAGGUGAUGCUAUUACCAUUUUACAUACCAAAUCCCCAGGUCCAAAACAAUUUAUCUAAAGCACAAGAUCAUGCACCAGUAAUGGACAGAGGCAGGACCUGAGCUCAUGCCUGCCUCCUUUUCACUCAUCUCUCUCAGUGCUUUGCACCACCACCCACACCCACCUCUUCUAUGAGUCUUGCUUGCCUAUACUUUCUCUGUUUCUCUGUAGUAGUCGAGGUUCUGAUAUUGGAAGUAGUAGAGGAAAGUGGGACCUGGCUGAUUUGUGUAGUGCUGUGGCAACCAGGGGCAGCCAAGUCUAGAAAGCCUGGCAGCUGCAAACAGGCUCUGCUUCAGUGCUGUGAGAGGACUUGGAUGGAGUGCCUCUUGGAAGCUUGUUCUUGGAGUGAACUCCAGUGAACCCCUGCAUAGUCUUGACCUCAUCCCAUAUCCUCUCUCAUCCCUAAUCCUCUGGCUCAGAGAAGGGAGGCACUGAACAGGCUGCCAUGUGAAAUGCAAAGAGAAAGGGAAAGAUGCACUAAGAAAAACAAAUACUGAGAAAGAUUCACAGCAGCACCUUCCCCAUCCCCAAUUAAGUUAAGCCUUACUUCUUUAAGGACAAAAAUACACACACACACACACACACACACACACACACACACACAGAGUAUAUGCAGCUCUACUACACUGCACUUUCCACAUUGCAUUGCAGUUAAUUCACUAGUUUAACUAAUGUUUAUUGAGCAUCUGUUGUAUGCCAGAUGCUGUUCUAGGCUCUAAAGAUGUACAGUGGGCAAAACAAAUACAAAUUCUUGUCCUUGUGGAAACAAUAGCCAGUUGAACAAUGAGAUGGGAAUAUCAAAUGUGAUUUUAUAUGAUGACAAAAAGUCUAUGUUAAGUAAUACCAUAAACAAAGGAAAAUACUAAAAGAGUACACACAAAUUGCACUCCAUAUGCCACAUAAAGAUCUAUGUGUGAAAUAACACUUGCCAACUUACUUCAUGCCACAACACAUAUAAAAGUAGAGAAUAUGAGCUCUGCAUCGUGUGGAUGAAUGGGGUAAAUGGAUGGGACUGCAUGCAUCCUUAGCGACAAGGCCUGAGGGAUGGUGCCUCAGGCCGUCCAGGCUGCCGGAGGAGUAUUCACUACACUUCAGCGUCCUUAUGACCCAUGUGUGACACAUACCCAUUGAGUACUAUUAGAUGAGACGGCAUAAUAUACUAAAAGCUCCUACAAAUGGAAAAAAAUGAUAAACCAUUUAAUACAACUUAUGGGAACAUAUGCUGAAUACGUGAUUUGCAGGACUUACAGAGAAAACACCAAAGCCUGACAACAGUAUGAAAAUAUGCUCAACCUCACUAAUAGAGAAAUGCAAACAAAACCAUUUCUUCUGCUUGUUCUUUUGCCAAAUAUCAUCACCUAGUGCUGGAGAUACUGGGGAAAUGGGCACUCUUAGAUCUUCCUGGGGAAAUGUAAGUUCAGUAUUUCUGGAAAACAGUCUGGUCUGAUGUAUUAGAACUAAAAAUAUGCCUACUGUAUACAGGGACAGUCAUUACAGCCAUGUUUGUAAUGGGAAAGAACUGUCUCAGCAACCCUGAAAGCCAGGACCUUCUUCUGAUGGGGGGGGCAACUUAUCGGACAAUACAUGAGGCCUGUGCUGGGUAUGAGGGGAGAUAUUUUAUAGUUUUCUUUUUCCCUAUGCAUUUUAACAUUGAUGAAAUGUUUCACUUUUAGGUUUAGUACUUUUGACAUGGUUCAGGAAAAGCAUACCGUUUCUGAAGUGAGACAGACCUAGGUGAAAGAUCUCCCUCUGCUUCUAACUUGUCCUUCUCCCACCCUCCUUUCUCUUGUUCCUGUUUCUCCCCCAAGGCAGACCUAGAAACUAGAAUUCUCCUUCCCUAAAGCAAGCCAUAAAACCUAGAAAUACUACUCUGACCUUCCUCUGCCUUUCUGUGUAGGAGCUGGCUAUAAAGAAAUUCUCUGACCUACUUUGUUUGAAAGUAGAUCAUAAGACCCUCAUUCCAGAGGUCCUGCCCUACACCCAGGGGAAAGGAAUGCCACACAGAGAGGCCAAGAAGAAUCUGAAAGACAGGUCUAGCUAGGUUUUCCCCGCUUCAGUCUCUCACCAUUAGAUCAUACCCUUUGGUCCAACCACAUUUCUACAUGGCCGUCUGUUCUCCAUCAAACCUAAGCACAAAAAUAGACAGUUGUUCCUGAGUCUUUGGAUCUUCAUUUCUGAAGGCUCCCAUGUCAUGUAAAACUUUUAUUCAAUAAAUUUGUGUGCUUU